rnacentral:lncRNA from 1 species
UCAUGAUGUUUUUCUAGUCUUUUUUAUGUAGUAAUUGACUCUUUGCUCUCUUAUCUCCUUAUUAUAAUCUAUAAUUAAUCAUUUUACUCUCAUGCCUUUCUUUAACUCUUCAUUGAUAAAAUUAGUAAUCAUACGGGUUUUCUAGCCACAACACCACGUUCAAUCAACACUUUUUUAAAGUUUUAAAAAUGUCCUAUACCAUUGCAGGAAAAUGGCAGUUGUUAUCUUAUAGUUAUUUUAUGUGUGUGUUGCAUUGUCGUUUUUGUUUGUUUGUUGCAUUUCAAUGUUUUUGUUGUUUCGUUGGUUUCUACCCG